UUGUUUGGGAUGCUUCUUUGCUGGUGCAGUCUACGCAGAUCUGGUUCCCUUUGCAAAACAUCCCCCUGCCUGGAGAUGAUGAGGCUGUCGGAGCCCAGGCCGGGGCCUGACCUGGCAGGCGCACACCUGGCCCGUGGCUCCGAGGUCCCCAGGGACCCGGUCCCCUCUGAGGGCAGGCUACCUGAGGCCACACCUGCCCACCUCCCCUACUCCAGGCCACCAGCUAGUGUCAGAUCGGGCCACAGGGAGGGAGCGAACAGGCCUAGCAGGGAAUGGAGGCCCCGGGGGAAGGCCGUCACCCAGAGGCCUCCUCCCCAGAGAGCCCCGCGGGGAACCCGGCUCAACUGGGGGGCAGUGGUUGACUUUCCCUUUUUUCUUCCUUUCUUUCGUCCUCUCUGCUGCCCACAGCCAGUAAGCCGGGACCACCCGAACUGGCCAGGGCACGGGGAGGGAGGAGCGGUCAGACGGAGCGUACCUGAUUCAACAGGAAAUCAAUUGUUUCUAAAACAGCCCCUACCAGAGCCUCCUGA